GUGUAUCUGUGUGCUCCAGAGAGAGGAGUUUGUAGUGUAUCUGUGUGCUCCAGAGAGAGGAGUUUGUAGUGUAUCUGUGUGCUCCAGAGAGAGGAGUUUGUAGUGUAUCUGUGUGCUACAGAGAGAGAGGAGUUUGUAGUGUAUCUGUGUGCUACAGAGAGAGAGGAGUUUGUAGUGUAUCUGUGUGCUCCAGAGAGAGAGGAGUUUGUAGUGUAUCUGUGUGCUACAGAGAGAGGAGUUUGUAGUGUAUCUGUGUGCUCCAGAGAGAGAGGAGUUUGUAGUGUAUCUGUGUGCUACAGAGAGAGGAGUUUGUAGUGUAUCUGUGUGCUCCAGAGAGAGGAGUUUGUAGUGUAUCUGUGUGCUCCAGAGAGAGGAGUUUGUAGCGUAUCUGUGUGCUCCAGAGAGAGGAGUUUGUAGCGUAUCUGUGUGCUCCAGAGAGAGAGGAGUUUGUAGCGUAUCUGUGUGCUCCAGAGAGAGAGGAGUUUGUAGCGUAUCUGUGUGCUCCAGAGAGAGGAGUUUGUAGUGUAUCUGUGUGCUCCAGAGAGAGGAGUUUGUAGUGUAUCUGUGUGCUCCAGAGAGAGGAGUU
rnacentral:lncRNA from 1 species